rnacentral:lncRNA from 1 species
UUGGUAAAAAUAUAAAAAACUUAUCUGAAGUAUGAAUUAUUUUGAAACGGCUACUCGUGCUUUCAAAAUUUUGAUUUUAUUAUUCAAUCUUUCAAUUUCUUUGAUUUGAUCCGGUCAACGAUACUUUAACUUUAAGAUUUAAGCUAAUUACUUAUUUUAAUAAAUUCAUACUCGUGAAAUUGCAUGAAGUAUACUAACUAAGCCUAAAAAGAUAAAUAACACAUUCAAAUAAAGUUAAAAUAUCGUUGAUUGACUCAAAUUAAACAAAUUAAAAAGUUAAAUAAUAAAAUCAAAUUUUUGAAAGGUUGAGUAGCCGUUUCAAAAUAGUCCAUAAUUCAGAUGAUUUCUAUAUAUU